rnacentral:rRNA from 1 species
GACGAACGCUGGCGGCGCGCUUAACACAUGCAAGUCGAGCGAAGCGGCGGACGGGUGAGUAACACGUGAGUAACCUGCCUUAGUCAUUGGGAUAGCCUCGGGAAACCGGGAUUAAUACCAAAUGGUCUAAGAUGGACUCGCGUCCCAUUAGCCAGUUGGUGAGGUAACGGCCCACGAAGGCGACGCUGGGUAGCCGGCCUGAGAAGGUGAACGGCCACAUUGGAACUGGGAAACGGGGCAAACUCUACGGGAGGCAGCAGUGGGGAAUAUUGCACAAUGGAGGGAACUCUGAUGCAGCGACGCCGCGUGAACGAAGAAGGCUUUCGAGUCGUAAAUUUCUUUUAUAUGGGAAGCGGUACCAUAAGAAAAAGCCACGGCUAACUACGUGCCAGCAGCCGCGGUAAUAC